AGAUAUAUAUAUAUAUAUAUGUAUAUAUUUUUUAGGACCCAUUUUUCCCUUAUGUAGGAGAGCGACUGACUUGUCAAUUUUAUAAACAGUCAAGUAACUAAAACAAAACAAAAAAUGCACUUUAGUAUUGUGACCAGAUAUGGGGAAGAAGAUUAGUUCAAAAGAUAAGGAACUAUGACCCUGGAAGAGGAGUACAAGAACUAUGCAGACAAUGCCACUUGGAAGGAGGAUUGGAGGUACAGGGGUAGAAAGGGUCCUAACGUCCUCCCUGUGGGAGAGGAGGGUGAAGACAAAAUCAAGAUCUCUUUACCAAAGGCCAUGCAGGGUGGUGCACGCCUGUAGUCCCAGCUACUCCGGAGGCUGAGGCUUGAGCCUGGGAGGCGGAGGUUGCAGUGAGUUGAGAUCGUGCCACUGCACUCCAGCGUGGGCGACAGAAUGAGGCCCUGUCUUAAGAAAAAAAAAAAAUCUUACAAGGAGAAAUGGGACUCAUGAGUGUAGACUACUAGUUUGAGAAUACUGGCCUGGAUUCUGUACCAGGGCAGCCACUUACCACAGGUGUUAGUUGCUCAAUAAUUUCAACAUGUUAUUUACUGUUCAUGAUGUAUGGUGGAGGAAGGCCAAGGCCAGGUUUUGUUCAUUUCCAUUUCCAGGAGUUAUAUGGCUUGUGGCACUUCACUGAUUAUGAAUCAUUUUCUUGAACGUUCAUAAAGACGGAAACUAUCCAUUCAUAAAAUGGAAACUAUUCAUGUGUGAAACUGAUAUACCUUCUCUGACACUUGUAUAUACCUUCUCUGACUGUGUUGGGAAAUAGUCCCUAUAAAGAAGCAUUUACCAUGAUGUGUUCCUGAGGAGAAAAUGAGAAAGAAGGAAGUUUGGGAUCUGCCUGUCUCUUAACACAGUUAAUAGAAUAUUAGAUCGCUCAGAGAAGGCCUACAGUAAUGAACUUGCUUAACUUUGUUUAGUCUGGUGUUUCUGUAGCAUUUUGACCACAGUAACUUUAAAGUAACACUCUAUUAAUAUCCCUCCCAUGUGGUUUUUCCCAGAAUACAUUUUGCAAAAUGCUGACAUAAAUCAUUCACCUGGGCACAGGACUGCUCAGAAGGCACUCUCGGCUCUCAAAAGGCAUUUCAGAUCUACUUUUUUGAAAUCAUCUGACUGGAUUUCGUUCAAGCUCUUGUUGCUGAAUCAGUUAUCAGUGUCUCCAGCCUUUCCAGUUGUAAUCUCCACAGGAGGCUAAAGCACAGCUAACAAAUGGUGCCAAGGGAGGCUCUAUCCCCAUGACCAGGCCAUGUCUCAGAGCAGCCACAAAUGACAGCAGGUCUCCAGAUCAGCAAUAUGCAGAAAGAGAAGCUGAUGGGGGUUGUGGAGAAAGGCUUCCAUCCCUCAGGGCACAGGAAGCCAGAAGGUUGACAAAAGGACACUGUCUCGGUUGGCCUGAAGCAGAGGUGAAUUGAAUUGAGGAGGACACCUUGACAAGGAGAAAAAAAAAUCAAGUCACAGAUGGGGCGAUCUGGGAGGGCUGACAAAGACAGCCCCACAGUGUGAAGUCAUACACAUUUCCUCAGGAAACCAUCUGUUUGAACAAGUACUGUCCGUCCAGUCUAAAUUGAUUUGUAGGAGAGAACUGCAGUCUGUUCCAUGCCUAGCCUGAGCCACGGCCUGUACUACCUGUUAUGCUGUAAGACCCUCUGAUUUCCAGGACCCUCUGGCUUUGGAUUUUGGUCGCCAUCUUUGGUUCUGCAUGUUUUAUACUGAUGGUUCAACCUGCAAGACAAAAAAGAGGGAGGUAUUGUUUAACAUCAUUAUUGACAUAUUUAAUAUAAUUAUUGUGUCAGACACUCUGGUAGGUUCUGGAAGGACAAAUGUGAACCCAAGUUUUGGAAGUCUAAGUAACUCAUCGAAAGUCCCACUGCUGGUAAAUGACAGAGCUGAUAUGUGAACCAGUCAGUCUGGCUUUGGAAUUCAUACUCUUACUCAUGGUGUCACUAACUCUACCUGACCGACCACAAUACUAGGCAUUAAGUGUCAAACAGAUUUAAGUCACACAGGCUGUGAAAGCACAAAGAAAAGACAUCAGUUCUGGCUAGGGGUGGGUUGGUUCUGGAAGGCUUUUAAAGAAAGAGUAUUUAAGCUGAUACUUAAAAGAUAAAGAUUUUUAACUGGCAGAAAAUAAGAAUGCAUUACUCAGGAUAAUUUAGAUUAUGCUGUGGUAACACAGGUUUAACCCAACAAGGGUUUCUCUCUCUUAAGAAAAUGAUAAGUCGGCCAGGCGUGGUGGCUCACGCCUGUAAUCUCAGCACUUUGGGAGGCCGAAGCAGGUGUAUC